AGCGCGCCCUUCGGGGUGAGCGGCGGACGGGUUAGUAACGCGUGGGAACGUGCCCAGAUCUAAGGAAUAGCCACUGGAAACGGUGAGUGAUACCUUAUACGCCCUUCGGGGGAAAGAUUUAUCGGAUUUGGAUCGGCCCGCGUUAGAUUAGGUAGUUGGUGGGGUAAUGGCCUACCAAGCCUACGAUCUAUAGCUGGUUUUAGAGGAUGAUCAGCAACACUGGGACUGAGACACGGCCCAGACUCCUACGGGAGGCAGCAGUGGGGAAUCUUGGACAAUGGGGGCAACCCUGAUCCAGCCAUGCCGCGUGAGUGAUGAAGGCCUUAGGGUCGUAAAGCUCUUUCGCCUGUGAUGAUAAUGACAGUAGCAGGUAAAGAAACCCCGGCUAACUCCGUGCCAGCAGCCGCGGUAAUACGGAGGGGGUUAGCGUUGUUCGGAAUUACUGGGCGUAAAGCGCGCGUAGGCGGAUUAGUCAGUUAGAGGUGAAAUCCCAGGGCUCAACCCUGGAACUGCCUUUAAUACUGCUAGUCUAGAGUUCGAGAGAGGUGAGUGGAAUUCCGAGUGUAGAGGCGAAAUUCGUAGAUAUUCGGAGGAACACCAGUGGCGAAGGCGGCUCACUGGCUC
rnacentral:rRNA from 1 species